rnacentral:rRNA from 1 species
UACGAAGGGGGCUAGCGUUGUUUGGAAUUACUGGGAAUAAAGCGCACGUAGGCGGUCCGCUAAGUCAUGUGUGAAAUCCCCCGGCUCAACCGGGGAAUGGCGCCUGAUACUGGCGGACUCGAGAUCGGUAGGGGUGAGUGGAACUCCAGGUGGAGCGGUGAAAUGCGUAGAUAUCUGGAGGAACACCGGUGGCGAAAGCGACUCACUGGACCGACACUGACGCUGAGGUGCGAAAGCUAGGGUAGCAAACGGG